rnacentral:tRNA from 1 species
GGAGGAUUGGCCGAGUGGUAAGGCACCGGCUUGCUAAGCCGUGAUCGGGGUCCAGCCCCGCGCGCGUUCGAUCCGCGCAUCCUCCG